rnacentral:snRNA from 1 species
AGAUGUGAGGGUGAUCUGGCUGUGACAUCUGUCACCCCAUUGAUCACCAAGGUUGAUUCAGCUGAUCGGGCUGGCUAGGCGGGUGUCCCCUUCCUCCCUCACCACUCCAUGUGCAUCCCUCCCAAAGCUGCGCACUCUGUCGAAGAGGACGACCACCCCCGAUAGAGGAGGACUGGUUCCUCGGUCAAGGGUAUACGAGUAGCUGCGCUCCCCCGCUAGAACCUCCAAACAAGCUCUCAAGAACUUAAAAAGAUCAGACCUCCCAAAUUUAAAGACUCAAUCCAAAAAUGGGCAUCUGAAAUGAACAGACAUUU